AGAGAACUGAAUAUUAAUUUCUCUACCAUAAGCCACCUCCAACGUAAUUUUAGAGAAUUUGGCAGUACGUCCAACGACCGCAGACCACGUAUAACCAUGCCAUCCUAGGACAUCCACACCCGGCUUCUUCCCCUGCGGGAUAGUCUGAGACCAGCCACUGAUGAAACUGAGGAGUAUUUCUGUCUGUAAUAAAGCCCUUUUGUGGGGAAAAACUAAUUCUGAUUGGCUGGGCCUGGCUCCCCAGUGGUUGGGCAUAGGCCCAGUCAUGAAAUCCAUAAAUUAGGGCCUAAUGAAUUUAAUGACUGAUUUCCUUAUAUGAACUGUAAACUCAGUAAAAUCGUUGAAAUUGUUGCAUGUUGCGUUUAUAUUUUUGUUCAGUAUAUUUAUAAAACGUGGUUUAGAUAUUGUUGUUAUCAAUGACUAUAGGUUGUGACCCACUAUUAUUUUGGGCUGAGUCCAAGGAUUUCCAUUGAGAAUUGUUUGUCUGUUGCCACCUGCAGGGGGCGCUGGAGCACAGAGGUUUGCCCUCUCCCCUCAACAGCACUCAGAGGCUGUGACAACUCUAACCGUUUCUCCUCCUGUCUCUUUUUUCUUUGUUCUCUUAAACAGAUCAAAAUUCACCCCGGCUCAAACUUUACUGCCCCAAAGAACAUCUGUAGUGCGGAGUUGUCAACCAUGAAGGAGAGGUCUUGGAGCAGGCAGGCCUUCCCCGGGAGGAAGAGCAGCUCCGUUUUGUCAAGAUCAAGGCUAGGUGGGGCUCGGCCAUGGGGGCUAGGGAGUAGCUUUCUCAGGCGCAAGAGAAUUUAGUUCAAAGAAGAUCUAAUCACAUUGGAUCAUUUUUGGGUGGUCUCCAACACAGAAUGCACAUAUAAGGAUAACAGGUGUUGUAUCGGAGAUACAUCGCCUAUGAAAAGAGGCUACUUGCUGUUCACUCAAACCAACGCCGUUUCAGAUUCUAUAGGACAAUCGCCAUAUGCAGGAGCGCAACUUUGGUUUUAGAAGUGGGGACAUUUAUUUUAUAGAUAAUUUUUUCCAGUCGGAUAAACACUCCAAACAGCCUACUCGACCACUCGGAGGCAUCCCCAUGGUCCUAAAGCACACCGAUGCCUCGUUUUGUAUCACAUUCCAAUGAUAAAACUGGGGGUGACAAAAAUGCAAUUUUUAGAAUGGGGGGACAUGUCACUGUCCGCAGUGGAAGUUGCACCCCUGGCUAUAUGUAUGUAUUGUUUGUAGCAUUGUACAGCUAAGUCAGAGUCAUCUUCAGACCUAACUCAAAUUUAAAUAUCUGGCUGUGUCAUUAUGACUUUGGAUAAUCAUUUGACACAUUGAAGUUAUUUCAUUUGAACAAUGGUUAAGCUAAAAGGGGAGAAGAAGGGGAGAAAAAAGGAUCCUGAAAAAGUGACAGUAAUUGGUGAGAAGGUUUUUGUUCAUUGAUUGCAAAUGAGCAUUUGACAGUGUGCGGGUAUUGUCAUGAUAUUGUUAUAAAAAAUAAUAUAACUCAUAAAUGACUCAUAGCAGAAAUAAUGGUGAAUAUUAUUCCAGACACUGACAUGGCUUAAAAGGACACUGCGAGAUUUCGAGAUUUAGGUCGUUUUUUACUUACCCAGAGUCCGACGAACUCACGGAAACCCAUUUUUAGGUCUUUGCUUGCAGUUUGGAUAUUAUUGAAGUUAGCAUAUCGUUAGUUUAGCGCAAUUACUGGAAGUCUCCCACAGUAGCCAGCUCCUCUCAGGGUAAUACACCUUCUAACUACUCCAAAGCUGUGUGGUUGGUCAUUUAUAGUCUUACAUAGCUAUACAUAGUAAUCGAUAUUUUAUAAAUGAGCUAAUUUGACUGAUAAUCAUAAGAAACAAGAUUCUAGCCACGUCCUCAUUCUCUGUCCGGUUAGAGAUCGUAGAGAUGUACUGUUUCUCUCUUAUUAUGGCGUCUGUGAGUGCAUGGGCAGCGCCAUUGAGACAACUCUGAAUCAUGGAUUACAGUUUCUCCUGGCCCAUGGACUGCUUUCAGGGUAAGGAACCAUCUGACUGACUAAGCACAUGCAAAUGUGACUACUUUGCUGUUAUUCUGGCUACACCUUUUAACGUGACUAAGUUAGCCAUAGUUGGCUAGCUAGCGAGCAAGGGAUAAGAACGUUGCCAGCGAGCAUGACAAUGGAGCAUUUAGAACGCACGACUUGUGCUGUCCAUAGAUACAGAACAAAAAGACUAAACAUCUCUAGCAACCAAACCGAUAGCACGAACGACCAGGCUUGGGUAGCAACCCUAGAUUUGUUUCGGGACAAUAUCUUGUGGAAAGAUGAAAUAGUAUGAAUACAUUCAUCAAAA
ensembl:lncRNA